GCCCAGAUGGCGGAAUCGGUAGACGCGCUGGUCUCAAACACCAGUGGGGCAACCCGUGCCGGUUCGACCCCGGCUCUGGGUACGA
rnacentral:tRNA from 3 species